rnacentral:rRNA from 1 species
GAUGAACGCUGGCGGCGUGCCUAAUACAUGCAAGUCGAGCGAACAGAUAAGGAGCUUGCUCCUUUGACGUUAGCGGCGGACGGGUGAGUAACACGUGGGUAACCUACCUAUAAGACUGGGAUAACUUCGGGAAACCGGUGCUAAUACCGGAUCAUAUUUCGAACCGCAUGGUUCGAUAGUGAAAGAUGGUUUUGCUAUCACUUAUAGAUGGACCCGCGCCGUAUUAGCUAGUUGGUAAGGUAACGGCUUACCAAGGCGACGAUACGUAGCCGACCUGAGAGGGUGAUCGGCCACACUGGAACUGAGACACGGUCCAGACUCCUACGGGAGGCAGCAGUAGGGAAUCUUCCGCAAUGGGCGAAAGCCUGACGGAGCAACGCCGCGUGAGUGAUGAAGGUCUUCGGAUCGUAAAACUCUGUUAUUAGGGAAGAACAUACGUGUAAGUAACUGUGCACGUCUUGACGGUACCUAAUCAGAAAGCCACGGCUAACUACGUG